CCCAAUUUACAAAUAAGAGUAACUCCCUUUAUGAAUGUGUUGAGUUUCCACAUCAUAUGUAAAAAGGAUUAUCAAUUAUAGACAAAAUCGAAGAAUACAAACUGAAAUCAAAUUGAUGAAAUUCUGCAAAUCAAAUCUACUAUACUAGUCACAGUUUUUAAAUUUUCGUAUAAUUUUUAUGUUAUAUUUUCUUUUUAAGUUAAGCUUUAUCCUUGUCCGCUAUCCGUACAUUAAAUCUAAUGCUUAAUAAUUAUUAGAUUAUUAUUUCUGACCUAUGAAUAAAGUAACAGAAUAAUGUCCGUAAUGCAUACGUUCAAACGUUUUAUAUCAAAUGAUGUACACUGAUGUAAAUGUUAAAACCAAAAGAUUGUGUGAACAUGCAUGUGGUUGAUAUAUUUAGUUUGACAUAAGAAAUAUUAAGAAAUUAUUAUUUACACAUUUUUUUCUAAAAUAUUUACUAGUAUGUCAUGACACAAGAGUUGUUUCUCCUUUGCAUGAUUGUAAGCAAAAUUUACAUUGGGUUGGCCUUUAUUAUUUUUAAAGUUAGGCAAUAUCACAAGAGUUCGGCAUUUAAAACGAAAGUAGAUAAAUGACUUAUUUAUCAUUUAGUACAAUUAAAAGCUUUUUGCCAACAUAACAAUCGUGGUAUAACAUAACUUUGUUUUAAACAUAACAUAACAUUGUUUUAAACCUACAUGUAAAUCUCGAUUAAAUAAUCGCCUAAACGACCUUAAUCAGGAGAGGCUUACCAAACAGAUGGAUUGUACAUUGCAACGGACUGGAAUUGAGAAUGGCUGAUUACGUGAACACGGCUAUGUCUGGUGUUUGUACUGGGCUUAUAGAGAAAUAGUUCACUAUACAAAAUAAAUAACGCCAAUGAUUUUAGAUUGUUAUAUUGGAUAUACUCUGACUCUUAUCCUUAAUUGAUAUUUUAUUGACAUCAGAUCUAGAAUCAUGUUAUUAAAGACACCUUUUUCAAUUUGAAGAAUUAUUCAGUUUCGUUGUCAAUCUGGAGUAAAGAAAAUAAAGUAAAAUUGUAUAAAAUC
rnacentral:misc_RNA from 1 species